CCUACGGGAGGCAGCAGUAGGGAAUCUUCCACAAUGGACGCAAGCCUGAUGGAGCAACGCCGCGUGGGUGAAGACGGUCUUCGGAUCGUAAAACUCUGUUUUUAGAGAAGAAAGUGCGUGAGAGUAUCUGUUCACGUUUCGACGGUAUCUAUCCAGAAAGCCACGGCUAACUCCGUGCCAGCAGCCGCGGUAAUGCGUAGGUGGCAUGCGUUAUCCGGUUUUAUUGGGCGUAAAGGGAACGCAGGCGGUCCUAUAAGUCUGAUGUGAAAGCCUUCGGCUUAACCGGAGUAGUGCAUCGGAUACUGGGAGACUUGAGUGCAGAAGAGGAGAGUGGAACGCAAGGUGUAGCGGUGAAAUGCGUAGAGAUAUGGAAGAACACCAGUGGCGAAGGCGGCUCACUGGUCUGUAACUGACGCUGAGGUACGAAAGCGUGGGGAGCAAACAGGAUUAGAUACCCGUGUAGUC
rnacentral:rRNA from 1 species